rnacentral:rRNA from 1 species
UAGGGAAUCUUCCACAAUGGACGCAAGUCUGAUGGAGCAACGCCGCGUGGGUGAAGAAGGUUUUCGGAUCGUAAAGCUCUGUUGUUGGUGAAGAAGGAUAGAGGCAGUAACUGGUCUUUAUUUGACGGUAAUCAACCAGAAAGUCACGGCUAACUACGUGCCAGCAGCCGCGGUAAUACGUAGGUGGCAAGCGUUGUCCGGAUUUAUUGGGCGUAAAGCGAGCGCAGGCGGAAUGAUAAGUCUGAUGUGAAAGCCCACGGCUCAACCGUGGAACUGCAUCGGAAACUGUCAUUCUUGAGUGCAGAAGAGGAGAGUGGAAUUCCAUGUGUAGCGGUGGAAUGCGUAGAUAUAUGGAAGAACACCAGUGGCGAAGGCGGCUCUCUGGUCUGCAACUGACGCUGAGGCUAGAAAGCAUGGGUAGCGAACAGG